UACGUAGGGUGCAAGCGUUGUCCGGAAUUAUUGGGCGUAAAGAGCUCGUAGGCGGUUUGUCGCGUCUGCUGUGAAAACCCGAGGCUCAACCUCGGGCCUGCAGUGGGUACGGGCAGACUAGAGUGCGGUAGGGGAGAUUGGAAUUCCUGGUGUAGCGGUGAAAUGCGCAGAUAUCAGGAGGAACACCGAUGGCGAAGGCAGGUCUCUGGGCAUUAACUGACGCUGAGGAGCGAAAGCAUGGGGAGCGAACAGG
rnacentral:rRNA from 1 species